rnacentral:rRNA from 1 species
AUUGAACGCUGGCGGCAGGCCUAACACAUGCCAGUCGAGCGGUAGAGAGAAGCUUGCUUCUCUUGAGAGCGGCGGACGGGUGAGUAAUGCCUAGGAAUCUGCCUGGUAGUGGGGGAUAACGUUCGGAAACGGACGCUAAUACCGCAUACGUCCUACGGGAGAAAGCAGGGGACCUUCGGGCCUUGCGCUAUCAGAUGAGCCUAGGUCGGAUUAGCUAGUUGGUGGGGUAAUGGCUCACCAAGGCGACGAUCCGUAACUGGUCUGAGAGGAUGAUCAGUCACACUGGAACUGAGACACGGUCCAGACUCCUACGGGAGGCAGCAGUGGGGAAUAUUGGACAAUGGGCGAAAGCCUGAUCCAGCAAUGCCGCGUGUGUGAAGAAGGUCUUCGGAUUGUAAAGCACUUUAAGUUGGGAGGAAGGGUUGUAGAUUAAUACUCUGCAAUUAUGACGUUACCGACAGAAUAAGCACCGGCUAACUCUGUG